CCAGCCCCUACAGGCAUUGCAGGUAUGGCUGCCGUGUCACAUGUGCAUCAGUAGGUGGCAGCUAGGAGAGAGGCAGUUUUUAUGUUCAGCAUUCAGACUCAUGAACAUUUGAAUGAUUAAUAGCCUAACAUU